CGGUUAAAAAGCUCGUAGUUGGAUCUCGGCAAGUAGAGGGCGGUAUGCUUCGUAGCAUUACUGCCCUAUUACUUGUAGUUUUGCCAGAGGUUCCUGGGUGCUCUUAAUCGAGUGUCUAGGGAUGCUGGCAGGUUUACUUUGAAAAAAUUAGAGUGCUCAAAGCAGGCUAUUACGCUUGAAUAUUCGUGCAUGGAAUAAUAGAAUAGGAAGUUGUUUCUAUUUUGUUGGUUUUCGGAAAUCGACUUAAUGAUUAAUAGGGACAGUCGGGGGCAUUUGUAUUCAAACGACAGAGGUGAAAUUCUUGGACCGUUUGAAGACAAACUACUGCGAAAGCAUUUGCCAAGAAUGUUUUCAUUAAUCAAGAACGAAAGUUAGAGGUUCGAAGGCGAUUAGAUACCGCCCUAGUUCUAACCAUAAACGAUGACAGCUAGCGAUCUGAGGACGUUUUUUUUGUAGACUCCUCAGGAAGCUUCCGGGAAACCAAAGCGUGUGGGUUCCGGGGGAAGUAUGGUUGCAAAGCUGAAACUUAAAGGAAUUGACGGAAGGGCACCACCAGGAGUGGAGCCUGCGGCUUAAUUUGACUCAACACGGGAAAUCUCACCAGGCCCGGACACUGGAAGGAUUGACAGAUUGAGAGCUCUUUCUCGAU
rnacentral:rRNA from 1 species